GACGAACGCUGGCGGCGUGCCUAAUACAUGCAAGUCGAGCGGACCGGAUUGGGGCUUGCCUUGAUUCGGUCAGCGGCGGACGGGUGAGUAACACGUGGGCAACCUGCCCGCAAGACCGGGAUAACUCCGGGAAACCGGAGCUAAUACCGGAUAACACCGAAGACCGCAUGGUCUUCGGUUGAAAGGCGGCCUUUGGGCUGUCACUUGCGGAUGGGCCCGCGGCGCAUUAGCUAGUUGGUGAGGUAACGGCUCACCAAGGCGACGAUGCGUAGCCGGCCUGAGAAGGUGGACGGCCACACUGGGACUGAGACACGGCCCAGGACCCUACGGGAGGCAGCAGUAGGGAAUCUUCCGCAAUGGGCGAAAGCCUGACGGAGCGACGCCGCGGGGGCGAAGAAGGCCUUCGGGUCGUAAAGCUCUGUUGUGAGGGACGAAGGAGCGUCGUUCGAAGAGGGCGGCGCGGUGACGGUACCUCACGAGAAAGCCCCGGCUAACUACGUG
rnacentral:rRNA from 1 species